AAAAAGACUUUUUUGAAAGUCACCUAAAGUAUUUUUUUAAACAAAAACCUACUAACUUGUUUUUAUUAAAAAAGACUUUUUUGAAAGUCACCUAAAGUAUUUUUUUAAACAAAA
rnacentral:sRNA from 1 species